UACGUAGGGUGCAAGCGUUGUCCGGAAUUAUUGGGCGUAAAGAGCCCGUAGGCGGUCUGUCGCGUCUGCUGUGAAAACUCAGGGCUUAACCCUGAGCUUGCAGUGGGUACGGGCAGACUAGAGUGCGGUAGGGGAGACUGGAAUUCCUGGUGUAGCGGUGAAAUGCGCAGAUAUCAGGAGGAACACCGGUGGCGAAGGCGGGUCUCUGGGCCGUAACUGACGCUGAGGAGCGAAAGCGUGGGGAGCGAACAGG
rnacentral:rRNA from 1 species